UACAGAGGUCCCGAGCGUUGUUCGGAUUUAUUGGGCGUAAGGGGUGCGUAGGCGGCGGAGUAAGUUGGGUGUGAAAUCCCGGGGCUUAACCUCGGAAUGGCAUUCAAUACUGCUUCGCUUGAGUACUGGAGAGGAGGCUGGAAUUUACGGUGUAGCAGUGAAAUGCGUAGAUAUCGUAAGGAAGGCCGGUGGCGAAAGCGAGCCUCUGGACAGUUACUGACGCUGAUGCACGAAGGCCAGGGGAGCAAACAGG
rnacentral:rRNA from 1 species